rnacentral:ncRNA from 1 species
CAAAGGCUUGGUCCUGACUUUACUGUUAAUUCUAGCUAGACUUACACAUGCAAGUAUCCGCACCCCCGUGAGAAUGCCCUACAGUUCCCCGCCCGGGCACAAGGAGCAGGUAUCAGGCACACAAUUGUAGCCCAUGACACCUUGCUAAGCCACACCCUCAAGGGAUUUCAGCAGUGAUAAAUAUUAAGCCAUAAGUGAAAACUUGACUUAGUUAAAGCUAAAAGGGCCGGUAAAACUCGUGCCAGCCACCGCGGUUAUACGAGAGGCCCAAGUUAACAGACACUCGGCGUAAAGAGUGGUUAAUAAAAACUAGCACUAAAGCCGAACAUCUUCAAAACUGUUAUACGUACUCGAAGAUAAGAAGCCCCACCACGAAAGUGGCUUUACCCACUUGACCCCACGAAAGCUGUGAAACAAACUGGGAUUAGAUACCCCACUAUGCUCAGCCUUAAACAUAGGUAACACUUUACAUUGUUACCCGCCUGGGUACUACGAGCACUAGCUUAAAACCCAAAGGACUUGGCGGUGCUUAAGAUCCACCUAGAGGAGCCUGUUCUAGAACCGAUAACCCCCGUUCAACCUCACCCUCCCUUGUUUUUCCCGCCUAUAUACCGCCGUCGUCAGCUUACCCUGUGAAGGUUUUAUAGUAAGCAAAAUUAGCACAGCCCAAAACGUCAGGUCGAGGUGUAGCAUAUGAGAGGGGAAGAAAUGGGCUACAUUUCCUAUAAACCUAGGAAACACGGAUAAGACAUUGAAAUAUGUCUUGGAAGGAGGAUUUAGCAGUAAGCAGAGAAUAGAGCGUUCCGCUGAAACUGGCCCUAAAGCGCGCACACACCGCCCGU